rnacentral:sRNA from 1 species
UAAAAGACGAAGUGGCUGAAACAGCGGCCAGACUUCGUGAAGCUGAAGGAACCAAAAGCCGUCUUUUGCAAACAGCAGCGGAGAAAAUCGCGCCAUUACAGGAUGCUGUUGAUCUUGAAAUCGCAACAGAUGAUGAGAAAGUGCAGCUCGACGAGUGGAAAAAAUACAGGGUGUUGGUAAACCGGGUAGAUACCACAAA